rnacentral:ncRNA from 1 species
CGCAACAGCAACAGCAACAACAACAACAGGGAUUGCCUCAGUAACGGCGAGUGAAGCGGCAAGAGCUCAAAUUUGAAAUCUGGCUCCUUCGGGGCCCGAGUUGUAAUUUGUAGAGGAUGCUUCGGGCGUGGCCGCGGUCUAAGUCCCCUGGAACGGGGCGUCGCAGAGGGUGAGAAUCCCGUCUUCGGCCGGCCGGCCCCGCCCGUGUGAAGCUCCUUCGACGAGUCGAGUUGUUUGGGAAUGCAGCUCUAAAUGGGUGGUAAAUUUCAUCUAAAGCUAAAUACUGGUCGGAGACCGAUAGCGCACAAGUAGAGUGAUCGAAAGAUGAAAAGCACUUUGAAAAGAGAGUUAAACAGCAUGUGAAAUUGUUGAAAGGGAAGCGCUUGCGACCAGAGUCGGCCGCGGGGGCUCAGCGGGCACUCGUUGCCCGUGCACUCCCCCGUGGUCGGGCCAGCGUCGGUUUCGACGGCCGGUCAAAGGCCCCCGGAAUGUGUCGCCUCUCGGGGCGUCUUAUAGCCGGGGGUGCAAUGCGGCCAGUCGGGACCGAGGAACGCGCUCCGGCACGGACGCUGGCUUAAUGGUCGUAAGCGACCCGUCUUGAAACACGGACCAAGGAGUCUAACAUCCACGCGAGUGUUCGGGUGUCAAACCCGUCCGCGCAGUGAAAGCGAACGGAGGUGGGAACCCUCAAGGGUGCACCAUCGACCGAUCCUGAAGUCUUCGGAUGGAUUUGAGUAAGAGCGUGGCUGUUGGGACCCGAAAGAUGGUGAACUAUGCCUGAAUAGGGUGAAGCCAGAGGAAACUCUGGUGGAGGCUCGCAGCGGUUCUGACGUGCAAAUCGAUCGUCAAAUUUGGGCAUAGGGGCGAAAGACUAAUCGAACCAUCUGGUAGCUGGUUCCUGCCGAAGUUUCCCUCAGGAUAGCAGUAACGUUUUCAGUUUUAUGAGGUAAAGCGAAUGAUUAGAGGCCUUGGGGUUGAAACAACCUUAACCUAUUCUCAAACUUUAAAUAUGUAAGAAGCCCUUGUUGCUUAGUUGAACGUGGGCACUGGAAUGGAUCGUUACUAGUGGGCCAUUUUUGGUAAGCAGAACUGGCGAUGCGGGAUGAACCGAACGCGAGGUUAAGGUGCCGGAAUGCACGCUCAUCAGACACCACAAAAGGUGUUAGUUCAUCUAGACAGCCCGACGGUGGCCAUGGAAGUCGGAAUCCGCUAAGGAGUGUGUAACAACUCACGGGCCGAAUGAACUAGCCCUGAAAAUGGAUGGCGCUCAAGCGUGCUACCCAUACCUCGCCGUCGGGGCAGAAACGACGCCCCGACGAGUAGGCAGGCGUGGAGGUCCGUGACGAAGCCCUGGGAGUGAUCCCGGGUCGAACGGCCUCUAGUGCAGAUCUUGGUGGUAGUAGCAAAUACUCAAAUGAGAACUUUGAGGACUGAAGUGGGGAAAGGUUCCAUGUGAACAGCAGUUGGACAUGGGUUAGUCGACCCUAAGACAUAGGGAAGUUCCGUUUCAAAGCGCGCCCUCGUGCGCCGUCCGUCGAAAGGGAAGCCGGUUAAUAUUCCGGCACCUGGAUGUGGAUUCUCCACGGCAACGUAACUGAACGCGGAGACGUCGGCGGGGGUCCUGGGAAGAGUUAUCUUUUCUUCUUGACGGCCUAUCACCCUGAAAUCGGUUUGUCCGGAGCUAGGGUUCAACGGCCGGCAGAGCCCCGCACCUUUGCGGGGUCCGGUGCGCCCCCGACGACCCUUGAAAAUCCGCGGGAAGGAAUAGUUUUCACGCCAGGUCGUACUCAUAACCGCAGCAGGUCUCCAAGGUGAAAAGCCUCUAGUU